AGGGGAUUGAGAAACAUGUCACCUGCAUUAGCAAAAAUGUGGUGGUGUAUUAGAGGCUGUCGGAGUAUUGAUUGUCAUAUUCCACUAACCCUCAGACAAGUGGGUGAGCCUUGACUGAUGCAAGAAUCUCUGUUGAGUGCCAUCGGUGCAGUGCUUGGAAGAACACAGCAAGCCAGGAGGUG